rnacentral:rRNA from 1 species
AAAAAAGGUAAGCUACUAAGAGCGAAUGGUGGAUGCCUUGACUGGUAAAGGCGAUGAAGGACGUACUAGACUGCGAUAAGCUACGGGGAGCUGUCAAGAAGCUUUGAUCCGUAGAUUUCCGAAUGGGGCAACCCAAUGUAUAGAGAUAUACAUUACCUAUAUAGGAGCGAACGAGGGGAAUUGAAACAUCUUAGUACCCUCAGGAAAAGAAAUCAAUAGAGAUUGCGUCAGUAGCGGCGAGCGAAAGCGCAAGAGGGCAAACCCAGUGCUUGCACUGGGGGUUGUAGGACUGCAAUGUGCAAGAGGUGAGUUUAGCAGAACAUUCUGGAAAGUAUAGCCAUAGAGGGUGAUAGUCCCGUAUGCGAAAAACAAACCUUAGCUAGCAGUAUCCUGAGUAGGGCGGGACACGAGAAAUCCUGUCUGAAGCUGGGUCGACCACGAUCCAACCCUAAAUACUAAUACCAGAUCGAUAGUGCACAAGUACCGUGAGGGAAAGGUGAAAAGAACUGAGGUGAUCAGAGUGAAAUAGAACCUGAAACCAUUUGCUUACAAUCAUUCAGAGCCCUAUGUAGCAAUACAGGGUGAUGGACUGCCUUUUGCAUAAUGAGCCUGCGAGUUGUGGUGUCUGGCAAGGUUAAGCAAACGCGAAGCCGUAGCGAAAGCGAGUCUGAAUAGGGCGCUUAGUCAGAUGCUGCAGACCCGAAACGAAGUGAUCUAUCCAUGAGCAAGUUGAAGCUAGUGUAAGAACUAGUGGAGGACUGAACCCAUAGGCGUUGAAAAGCCCCGGGAUGACUUGUGGAUAGGGGUGAAAGGCCAAUCAAACUUCGUGAUAGCUGGUUCUCUCCGAAAUAUAUUUAGGUAUAGCGUUGUGUCGUAAUAUAAGGGGGUAGAGCACUGAAUGGGCUAGGGCAUACACCAAUGUACCAAACCCUAUCAAACUCCGAAUACCUUAUAUGUAAUCACAGCAGUCAGGCGGCGAGUGAUAAAAUCCGUCGUCAAGAGGGAAACAACCCAGACUACCAGCUAAGGUCCCUAAAUCUUACUUAAGUGGAAAACGAUGUGAAGUUACUUAAACAACCAGGAGGUUGGCUUAGAAGCAGCCAUCCUUUAAAGAAAGCGUAAUAGCUCACUGGUCUAGUGAUUUUGCGCGGAAAAUAUAACGGGGCUAAAGUAAGUACCGAAGCUGUAGACUUGCGCACAACUUAGAUUAUUUAAGUUUAGAAUAUGAGAAACUAAGUUAUAUGUUUAGUUAUAUUUUUACUGAUUUUUAUAGAGUAAAGAUAGAAAUAAAACUUAGUAAAAUCAGUAAAAAUAUUCUUAGACUAAAGUUAAGUAGUUUAAGUUGUGUGCAAGUGGUAGGAGAGCGUUCUAUUUGCGUCGAAGGUAUACCGGUAAGGAGUGCUGGAGCGAAUAGAAGUGAGCAUGCAGGCAUGAGUAGCGAUAAUUAAUGUGAGAAUCAUUAACGCCGUAAACCCAAGGUUUCCUACGCGAUGCUCGUCAUCGUAGGGUUAGUCGGGUCCUAAGUCGAGUCCGAAAGGGGUAGACGAUGGCAAAUUGGUUAAUAUUCCAAUACCAACAUUAGUGUGCGAUGGAAGGACGCUUAGGGCUAAGGGGGCUAGCGGAUGGAAGUGCUAGUCUAAGGUCGUAGGAGGUUAUACAGGCAAAUCCGUAUAACAAUACUCCGAGAACUGAAAGGCUUUUUGAAGUCUUCGGAUGGAUAGAAGAACCCCUGAUGCCGUCGAGCCAAGAAAAGUUUCUAAGUUUAGCUAAUGUUGCCCGUACCGUAAACCGACACAGGUGGGUGGGAUGAGUAUUCUAAGGCGCGUGGAAGAACUCUCUUUAAGGAACUCUGCAAAAUAGCACCGUAUCUUCGGUAUAAGGUGUGGUUCGCUUCGUAUUAGGAUUUACUCCGAAAGCGAAGAAACUUACAACAAAGAGUCCCUCCCGACUGUUUACCAAAAACACAGCACUCUGCUAACUCGUAAGAGGAUGUAUAGGGUGUGACGCCUGCCCGGUGCUCGAAGGUUAAUUGAUGGGGUUAGCAUUAGCGAAGCUCUUGAUCGAAGCCCGAGUAAACGGCGGCCGUAACUAUAACGGUCCUAAGGUAGCGAAAUUCCUUGUCGGUUAAAUACCGACCUGCAUGAAUGGCGUAACGAGAUGGGAGCUGUCUCAAAGAGGGAUCCAGUGAAAUUGUA